GAUGAACGCUGGCGGCGUGCCUAAUACAUGCAAGUCGAGCGAAUGGAUUAAGAGCUUGCUCUUAUGAAGUUAGCGGCGGACGGGUGAGUAACACGUGGGUAACCUGCCCAUAAGACUGGGAUAACUCCGGGAAACCGGGGCUAAUACCGGAUAAUAUUUUGAACUGCAUGGUUCAAAAUUGAAAGGCGGCUUCGGCUGUCACUUAUGGAUGGACCCGCGUCGCAUUAGCUAGUGGGUGCGGUAACGGCUCACCAAGGCAAGUAUGCAUAGCCGACCUGAGAGGGUGAUCGGCCACACUGGGACUGAGACACGGCCCAGACUCCUACGGGAGGCAGCAGUAGGGAAUCUUCCGCAAUGGUCGAAAGUCUGACGGAGCAACGCCGCGUGAGUGAUGAAGGCUUUCGGGUCGUAAAACUCUGUUGUUAGGGAAGAACAAGUGCUAGUUGAAUAAGCUGGCACCUUGACGGUACCUAACCAGAAAGCCACGGCUAACUACGUGCCAGCCGCCGCCGUAA
rnacentral:rRNA from 1 species